rnacentral:rRNA from 1 species
GAUGAACGCUGGCGGCGUGCCUAAUACAUGCAAGUCGAGCGAACAGACAAGGAGCUUGCUCCUUUGACGUUAGCGGCGGACGGGUGAGUAACACGUGGGUAACCUACCUAUAAGACUGGGAUAACUUCGGGAAACCGGAGCUAAUACCGGAUAAUAUUUCGAACCGCAUGGUUCGAUAGUGAAAGAUGGUUUUGCUAUCACUUAUAGAUGGACCCGCGCCGUAUUAGCUAGUUGGUAAGGUAACGGCUUACCAAGGCGACGAUACGUAGCCGACCUGAGAGGGUGAUCGGCCACACUGGAACUGAGAUACGGUCCAGACUCCUACGGGAGGCAGCAGUAGGGAAUCUUCCGCAAUGGGCGAAAGCCUGACGGAGCAACGCCGCGUGAGUGAUGAAGGUCUUCGGAUCGUAAAACUCUGUUAUUAGGGAAGAACAUACGUGUAAGUAACUAUGCACGUCUUGACGGUACCUAAUCAGAAAACCACGGCUAACUACGUGCCAGCAGCCGCGGUAAUACGUAGGUGGCAAGCGUUAUCCGGAAUUAUUGGGCGUAAAGCGCGCGUAGGCGGUUUUCUAAGUCUGAUGUGAAAGCCCACGGCUCAACCGUGGAGGGUCAUUGGAAACUGUAAAACUUGAGUGCAGAAGAGGAAAGUGGAAUUCCAUGUGUAGCGGUGAAAUGCGCAGAGAUAUGGAGGAACACCAGUGGCGAAGGCGACUUUCUGGUCUGUAACUGACGCUGAUGUGCGAAAGCGUGGGGAUCAAACAGGAUUAGAUACCCUGGUAGUCCACGCCGUAAACGAUGAGUGCUAAGUGUUAGGGGGUUUCCGCCCCUUAGUGCUGCAGCUAACGCAUUAAGCACUCCGCCUGGGGAGUACGACCGCAAGGUUGAAACUCAAAGGAAUUGACGGGGACCCGCACAAGCGGUGGAGCAUGUGGUUUAAUUCGAAGCAACGCGAAGAACCUUACCAAAUCUUGACAUCCUUUGACAACUCUAGAGAUAGAGCCUUCCCCUUCGGGGGACAAAGUGACAGGUGGUGCAUGGUUGUCGUCAGCUCGUGUCGUGAGAUGUUGGGUUAAGUCCCGCAACGAGCGCAACCCUUAAGCUUAGUUGCCAUCAUUAAGUUGGGCACUCUAAGUUGACUGCCGGUGACAAACCGGAGGAAGGUGGGGAUGACGUCAAAUCAUCAUGCCCCUUAUGAUUUGGGCUACACACGUGCUACAAUGGACAAUACAAAGGGCAGCGAAACCGCGAGGUCAAGCAAAUCCCAUAAAGUUGUUCUCAGUUCGGAUUGUAGUCUGCAACUCGACUACAUGAAGCUGGAAUCGCUAGUAAUCGUAGAUCAGCAUGCUACGGUGAAUACGUUCCCGGGUCU